AGAGUUUGAUUCUGGCUCAGAGCGAACGCUGGCGGUAUGCUUAAUACAUGCAAGUCGAACGAAGUGAUCAAUGUAGUAAUACAUUGAGAGCUUAGUGGCGAACGGGUGAGUAAUGCACAGGAAUUUGCCUAGUAGUGGGGAAUAACGGUUGGAAACGACCGCUAAUACCGCAUAAUCCCGAGAGGGGAAAGGAGCAAUUCGCUAUUAGAGAAGCCUGUGUCUGAUUAGCUAGUUGGUGGGGUAAAGGCCUACCAAGGCGAAGAUCAGUAGCUGGUCUGAGAGGAUGAUCGGCCACAUUGGGACUGAGACACGGCCCAAACUCCUACGGGAGGCAGCAGUAGGGAAUAUUGGACAAUGGGCGAAAGCCUGACCCAGCAAUACCGCGUGGAUGAUGAAGGCGUUAUGCGUUGUAAAAUCCUUUUGUCAGGGAAGAUAAUGACGGUACCUGAAGAAUAAGCACCGACUAACUAUGUGCCAGCAGUCGCGGUAAUACAUAGGGUGCUAGCGUUGCUCGGAAUUACUGGGCGUAAAGCAUGUGUAGGAGGAUCUAUAAGUCAAAAGUGUAAUUCCUAGGCUCAACCUAGGCGCUGCUUUUGAUACUGUAGAUCUAGAGUGAGGUAGAGGAUAGCGGAAUUCUUAGUGUAGGGGUUAAAUCCGUAAAUAUUAAGAGGAGCACCGAAAGCGAAGGCAGCUAUCUGGGCCUUAACUGACUCUGAGACAUGAAAGCGUGGGGAGCAAACAGGAUUAGAUACCCUGGUAGUCCACGCCGUAAACGAUGAGUGCUAAGUGUUUGGGUUUUUACUUGAGCGCUACAGCUAACGCGUGAAGCACUCCGCCUGGGGAUUACGGUCGCAAGACUAAAACUCAAACGAAAUUGACGGGGGCCCGCACAAGCGGUGGAGCAUGUGGUUUAAUUCGACACUAACCGAAGAACCUUACCAGUUCUUGACAUGCUAUUUUUAAGUCCGACCAGAGAUGGCGGAUGUGGGCAACCUAGAUAGUACAGGUGAUGCAUGGCUGUCGUCAGCUCGUGCCGUGAGGUGUUAGGUUAAGUCCUUUAACGAGCGCAACCCCUUUCUUUAUUUGCCAGCGAGUCAAGUCGGGAACUAUAAAGAUACUGCCUAUGUUAAAUAGGAGGAAGGUGGGGAUGAUGUCAAGUCAUCACGUCCCUUAUGAACUGGGCUACACACGUGCUACAAUGGCGUUUACAACGAGUCGCAAUACCGCGAGGUGGAGCUAAUCUUUAAAAAACGCCUCAGUUCAGAUUGCAGUCUGCAACUCGACUGCAUGAAGUCGGAAUCGCUAGUAAUCGUGAAUCAGAAUGUCGCGGUGAAUACGUUCCCGGGCCUUGUACACACUGCCCGUCAAGCCAUGGGAGUUGAAUUUACCUUAACACGUUGAGCUAACCGCAAGGAGGCAGAUGUCAACGGUAGAUUUAGUGACUGGGGUUAAGUCGGAACAAGGUA
rnacentral:rRNA from 1 species